rnacentral:misc_RNA from 1 species
AAGCACAUAUAAAACAAACAAAAAAUGAAAAACAGAGAUUGUAGAUAGAUAUU